UGUCCAGUAGCACCUUAGAGACCAAGUACGUUUGUUCUGGAUAUCAGCUUUCGUGUGCAUGCAUGAAGUCGUCCGAAGAAGUGUGCAUGCACACGAAAGCUUAUACCUGGAACAAACUUAGUUGGUCUCUAAGGUGCUACUGGACA